rnacentral:rRNA from 1 species
GUUGUUCGGAAUCACUGGGUUUAAAGGGCGCGUAGGCGGGCUGUCAAGUCGGUGGUGAAAUCUUUCGGCUCAACCGGAAAAUCGCCUUCGAUACUGGCGGCCUUGAGGGAGGUAGGGGCAUGCGGAACUUCCGGUGGAGCGGUGAAAUGCGUAGAUAUCGGAAGGAACACCGAUGGCGAAAGCAGCGUGCUGGACCUUUUCUGACGCUGAGGCGCGAAAGCCAGGGGAGCAAACGGG